UUUUUAAUGAUUAGAGCAGUUAUUUUUAUUUUAGUGUUUUCUGUAUUCAGCAUGUGCUUAUUUUGCACUGAAUCAAUGUAAAGGGCGGGAGCAGCCUUUAUUGUUCUUUUGUUUUACUUUAUUUUAUAUUUUUUGGCAAGGUCUCAUGCAGCCCAAGUUGGCCUCAAACUCAUUGUGUAGAUGAGGCUGAUCUUAAAUCCUUGUUCCUCCUGCCUCAGCUUCUCAAAAGCUGGCAUUACCGGUAUAUGGCAUCAUACUUGUUUUUUAAGGCCUUCUAGAGGUGUGAUUGACAACUAAGAAUCAGAUCUGUUUUAAACGUCUGCUUUACGGGAGGGAGUUUUCAUCUGGCAUUAUGGUCUGUGAGGCAAGGAGCACAGGGAGCGGUUGGUCUGGCCACAGGGGCACAGGGAGCGGUUGGUCUGGCCACAGGGGCACAGGGAGCGGUUGGUCUGGCCACAGGGGCACAGGGAGCGGUUGGUCUGGCCACAGGGGCACAGGGAGCGGUUGGUCUGGCCACAGGGGCACAGGGAGCGGUUGGUCUGGCCACGGGGACACAGGGAGCGGUUGGUCUGGCCACGGGGGCACAGGGAGCGGUUGGUCUGGCCACAGGGGCCUGUGGAGGCGGGCUGCCGUGUAGCACAGUGGGCCGAAGCAGAAGGCUCUCCGUGUGUGUACACGGUGACACGUUUAUCACAGCCAGACCCUUAACACAGUCAUCUCUUCACACAGAGCUCACUUCCCCGUCCCCAUCUCCCUUGCUAUCUUUAUCCCUUUAAUCUCCGUCUCUGUGCUAACAACACUGGACUGCUUCCUUCGAGGGUUUCACGCAUGACUGACGUCUCCACGCAAUCAAUACCUCACAGCUACAACUUACUCACCUCGUAAGAAGUCAGGGUCCUUUUGCCCUCCCCUCCCCCAACUCCUGGUCACCAGCGUCCAUUGUUCCUAAGCCUAUGUGACACGCUUGGGGCUUUGGAAGGAACUUGGUUUGUCAUCUUGGCCAAUGACCUCCUCAGGGUGGGGUCCUGCUCUUCCAGGUCUCUCAGACACGGAUCUCCAGAUGUCUGGUGCCAGGGUGUACUGACAUGGCCCCUUCUUCAACACUGAAGCCUUCAUUCCUGCACCCGUGUUGGCUGCUCACAGUCACAGCUGUGUGAAUUUGACCACAGAGAGCUGUGUGCGGCUUGAGACUCUGGAAGGAUAAGGCACGACCCAGAGAAAAGAAGGAAGAAGCUGGAUCUUCUGAGUGACUUACCUUCAGGGUUGAUACAGUUCUCACGCCUCCCCAGACUUGAGCACCACAGACGAACAGAAGCCCUGGUGUCAGGUGUUUCCUCAGAGACCCUGCGUGUGACACCUGUUCACACAAGGGCCUUGCAUGGAACGCGGUCUCAGUCAACUCAUGAGAACAUGGCUGGACUCACAAAGAUUAUGUUCUACCAGCUGAAUGUAUGUGUGCUUGUGUGUGUGUGUGUGUGUGUCUGUGUGUGGUUAUGUAGUCCAAAGGCCAAUAUCUUCACUUUCACCUUAUUUUUAAAGACAGGUCUUCUCAAUGAAACUGGAACUUAACAAUUGGCUAGACUGGCUGGCCAGCAGGCCCAGGGGCUCCUCCCAUCUCUAUCUCCACGUACUGGGAUCUCAGGCAUUUCCUGUAGAUGUGUUUUUGUUUUUUGCUUGUCUGUUGUUUUUUUUUGUUGUUGUUGUUGUUUGUGGAUGCUGGGGAUCUGAAUUCAGGCUCUUAUUGCUUGUGUGGCAAACUCUUUAUUGAUGGAGCCAUUUCUCCAGCCCCCCCCCCCCCCACACACCCGCACCUCUUUGCUCCUUCCUUUCAACAAGGCCUCAUUCUGGAAUCUAGGUUGCUUUCACACUCCUGCGUCUGUGGAGUGCUGGGUACAGGUGUGUACGAUCACUUCUGGCUUAAAGUAUGUGCAUGCCUUCCCACUUCAGACCCACCAGAGCCUCGGUACCCUAGGACCGUGCGGGCCUCUCUGACAUUUGUGAGCCACACCCUCAUCUUUAACACUGUGUCUCUGAGGGGAGUAAGCACUCACUCAGGACAGAACAGCCAGCAUGAGAGGGGAAUGGAGAGCCAAGAGGAGUCUGUUCCUACGGACAGGAAAUAUGGGAAUGUUAGAUAUCACUUUGUCCAGUGAGGCCAACCUCAUGGGCCAGGUAGCCUGACUAGUUCAGACAAGAGCGAAGGAGGCCAUGGAGGAGCAUGGAGAAAUGACGUGGAUGAACAGCCUUGAUUUUUUGAGCUGGAAGAGUUGAGCAAAGACGUAACAUGGCAUGUGCACAAGGCACACACACGGAAUGUCCAGGAGGAUGCUUGUCUGCAGUCUGGGUUAUACACAGGGGAUGUCGACAGCCUAGCAUGGCUGCCAUGCCAGCCAGUGUCUAAGUGUGCAGGGAUUUGGAUAACAUCAGGAGCCUAACUGGCAGAACGCCCCUCCUCCCGAAUUGGGACAAAUAAGAGACCGAAACAAGAGGAACUGGAAGGUGUGAGGCUGUGAAGUAGGGUCCUAGGACAGGGAGGGAGGGAGUGCUGUGGCCAGUCCCUGCCAGCGUACCUCUCAUCUGUGAAGAACACCCUCUCAGCCCUCACUCUCAGCUGCCAGGGGCCUCCCUACCCCACUACCCCACCCCCACCCCCAGGGCAUUUUUACUGUGGGGCUUCUCUCUGUUCUUUUCCCCACUUCUUGGCCACAGCCCUCACCACUUGCUCCAAGUCAGUCUCUCUGGUUAUUUAUAAUCUGUCUGGAGGUCAGAGCCCUCUGGAAAGCAGGUGCUCGGUAGGGAGACCACAGUUUCCCAGGCGGCCCCGGGCCAUGAGCUGUCAGCUGAAGCCUCCACGUGAACGCUGAAGGUAUGGGGCCAAGGUCAUAAUAUGGUUUAUCUCUCUGCCUGAGUUAGCUGGCUAACUCCGCUGGCAGUGCUGGGAAGGCACCUAUUACAUCUGGUUCCGCCCAGGGCUGUGCCCCACAGGAAAGCCUGAGAGAAGGAAAGAGUAAACUCCACUUCAACCUUGGGUCCUCACAUGGCCCCGCACAUUCUUCUCAAAGGCAGGGCUGGCCUGCAGCUGAUGUUCCUUUCCAGAAUGCCUCCUGGGCCACCAGCCCACAUGGCCCACACCAUCUUUGUCUGAGGAAGCUGACUCAAGGUGAAAACUUCGCUGAGGACACCUGUCAUGUGACUCUUCACAAUGCUACAGAGCGGGGUGCUACUAGCUGCACUCCGCAGAUGGCACCAAGAGUCAGAGGAGUGUGACAACAAGGGACAUGCCCAGAGACGUGCCAGGGGCUGCUGCGGGACACAGGACACCAGAGGAUGUUGGUGACAUGAGCCACCAUGUAUCCAAGACUCCAUGUUCAAGACAACGCUCAUGAGCAGUGAGCAUGAAUGACACUUCUGGGCAGGAGCUUGUCUGGAGAAUUUGGCUGAGGGUAUUUCUGGGGGUCUGGAGAGGCCAAUGGGAUUUUCACCAUGGGACCGUGGGAAUCAGUAGAGACCCCAGGCUUUGCAGGAAUCUCCCAUCUCCCACCUGACCUCCCAGAUCUAAGGCACGUUAAGAUUGUUAUGAAUGACUUAAACUGGACGGGAAGGACCCCUGCAGUGAGAGGCUGGGAAACGCAGGAGGCAUAGGCUGAAUGUGCCUUUCCAGUGAGCUAAGCUCAACAGCAGGGCACAGCAGCUGCUUGGAGGGGCCCACCUAGACCCCUCAUUUGUGGAGAAAUCAGGUCCUGAGGAAGCUGGUUCAUCUAUCUGUCAAGGCCAGAGGAGACUUCUCAUUAG